rnacentral:rRNA from 1 species
CGGACGGGUGAGUAACGCGUGGAUAACCUGCCUCACACUGGGGGAUAACAGUUAGAAAUGGCCGCUAAUACCGCAUAAGCGCACAGUACCGCAUGGUACGGUGUGAAAAACCCAGGUGGUGUGAGAUGGAUCCGCGUCUGAUUAGCCAGUUGGCGGGUAACGGCCCACCAAAGCGACGAUCAGUAGCCGACCUGAGAGGGUGACCGGCCACAUUGGGACUGAGACACGGCCCAA